GACGAACGCUGGCGGCGUGCUUAACACAUGCAAGUCGAACGGAAAGGCCUUUUCGGAGGUACUCGAGUGGCGAACGGGUGAGUAACACGUGGGUGAUCUGCCCUGCACUCUGGGAUAAGCCUGGGAAACUGGGUCUAAUACCGGAUAGGACCGCACUUUAGUGUGUGUGGUGGAAAGUUUUUUCGGUGUAGGAUGAGCCCGCGGCCUAUCAGCUUGUUGGUGGGGUAAUGGCCUACCAAGGCGGCGACGGGUAGCCGGACUGAGAGGUUGGUCGGCCACAUUGGGACUGAGAUACGGCCCAGACUCCUACGGGAGGCAGCAGUGGGGAAGAUUGCACAAUGGGCGCAAGCCUGAUGCAGCGACGCCGCGUGGGGGAUGACGGCCUUCGGGUUGUAAACUCCUUUCGCCAGGGACGAAGCGUUUUGUGACGGUACCUGGAGAAGAGGCACCGGCUAACUACGUG
rnacentral:rRNA from 1 species